UCACAAAAUGGCCCUAGAAUCUAUAUGCCUGAAUUAGAAUUUUUUAAAAUACUAAAUCAGAGUAGUUUUUACUCUAACAGUGAGUUCUCCAGACAACUUGCGUAAGCAUUACCUGUGAUAAAUGUACAUAUCUGCACAUAUACAUUAUAUGUAUAGUUCAAUUCAUGUGCCCACAGCCCAGAAUGACUGAAUGUAAUCUCUUGGGGUGAGCCUGAGAACUUACAUUUGAAACAUGCAGAGACUAGACUUCCUGGUGGCUAAGUCAGUGGUUAAGACUCCUAGCUUCUGAAGCCAGGGGGCGCAGCUUUGAUGCCUUGUUGGCGAACUAGGAUCCCACAUGCUGCAGGGCACAGCCAAAAAGUAGAAAACAAAAACACACACUGUAGAGUUGUCAAGGUAAGUUACAAUUCAGUACAUUGGCCUAGAGUGACCAGUGACACAACAGUCACGGGUGUCAGGGGAAAAGUUGAUGCAGCUCAAACUCAGUUAUCCCAAAGAUCCAAGGAACUCUGUUUCUGAGUUCUUUAAGCAUGUGACUGAUCUCAUUUUGUUUUAGACACCCUAGAGCUAGGAAACUGGAAAAGAUGGCCACAUAAGAUCCUUCCUGGAUAUGUAACACUAUGAAAAAUACAUUCUCUGUCUUCCGCCAUCCCUCCCCCUGCCCCGAAUUUAACAUACACAGGAACAAAACUUGGACCUGUCAUUCUGUGUUGGGGAUGAAAAUGGCUCAACUGGUUUGUUUUAUUUUUCAGUUGCUUUUCUGUCUGCUAAUUCAAUCCAGUGUUCUUCAAUGACUACUUAGUGCAAGGUCUGGGCAAGAUACUUCAGAAGAAACUUAGAAUAUGAAUCAACAAUCUGUAAGGAACUCACAAUGCAGGACACAAGAGAAGAGAUCUUGGCUUUGCUCAGGACGCUGGAGAUCCCGUUUGCACACUGUGGGUCCUGGUUGGCAGUGUUUGGCCUGGAGAUGAAAUUAUCAAUAGCUGUUCAUGAGAGAGACAAAGUAGAGCAGGGCAUAGAGAAAGAGACCAGAAGCCAGUCCAUCACCUGCUCCCUUGGUGACCUCGCUUUACCUCUUCAUGCUUCAGUUUCUCCAUCUGUUGGUGGAAAGAGUGACACAUGAUACCUGGCUCUCAGAGUGUCAGGAACAUCUUUGUAAAGUACCAGGAGAUGCUCGAAGGGGCCUGAGAGACUGCUUCUCUUUAUGUGGUCAAAUGAAACUCCAUCGGAUGGGCAAAAAGUUACAGACCCCAUAUAUCUUUUUAAUUGAAAGAGGUUUUUGUACCUGAAAAAGUACUUGUAUUUCUUUAUUUAUCAGUGGAUGUUGUCCCAUGAAACCCACUGCAAUGGCAGGACCUAAAUAUUCAUUUAAAUAAUAAACAAAUAAGCCUCAGCA
rnacentral:lncRNA from 1 species